CGCAAGCCUGAUCCAGCCAUGCCGCGUGUGGGAAGAAGGCCUUCGGGUUGUAAACCACUUUUGUCAGGGAAGAAACGGUCUGAUCUAAUAAAUCGGACUAAUGACGGUACCUGAAGAAUAAGCACCGGCUAACUACGUGCCAGCAGCCGCGGUAAUUCCAGCUCCAAUAGCGUAUAUUAAAGUUGUUGCGGUUAAAAAGCUCGUAGUUGGAUCUCGGUUUCACUCAGGUGGUACACCUUGCGGUGUUCACUAUCUGGGUGGACGUUUCUGUUGGUUCGCUCUUGGUGCUCUUCAUCGGGUGCCAUUUGGUGGCCAGCACGUUUACUUUGAAAAAAUUGGAGUGCUCAAAGCAGGCGUUACAGCCUGAACAUUAGUGCAUGGAAUAAUGGAAUAGGAUCUCGAUUCUAUUUCGUUGGCUUUCGGAGUCGAGGUAAUGAUUAAUAGGGACAGACGGGGGCAUUCGUACUGCGACGUUAGAGGUGAAAUUCUUGGAUCGUCGCAAGACGAACUACUGCGAAAGCAUUUGCCAAGAAUGUUUUCAUUAAUCAAGAACGAAAGUUAGAGGUUCGAAGGCGAUCAGAUACCGCCCUAGUUCUAACCAUAAACGAUGCCAACCGGCGAUCCGUCGUCGUUAAUUGAAUGACUCGACGGGCAGCCUCCGGGAAACCAGAGUGUUUGGGUUCCGGGGGAAGUAUGGUUGCAAAGCUGAAACUUAAAGGAAUUGACGGAAGGGCACCACCAGGAGUGGAGCCUGCGGCUUAAUUUGACCCAACACGGGAAAUCUCACCAGGCCCGGACACCGGAAGGAUUGACAGAUUGAGAGCUCUUUCUUGAUUCGGUGGGUGGUGGUGCAUGGCCGUUCUUAGUUGGUGGAGCGAUUUGUCUGGUUAAUUCCGAUAACGAACGAGACUCUGGCCUACUAACUAGAAGGUCUAUCCUUUAUGGGUAGGCCUCUGCUUCUUAGAGGGACGGGCGGCGUUUAGCCGCACGAGAAUGAGCAAUAACAGGUCUGUGAUGCCCUUAGAUGUUCUGGGCUGCACGCGCGCUACACUGAAGGAAUCAGCAUGUUCUCCCCUCCCUGAAAAGGGCGGGUAACCCGUUGAAACUCCUUCGUGAUGGGGAUUGGAGAUUGUAAUUAUUCUCCAUGAACGAGGAAUUCCCAGUAGGCGCGAGUCAUCAGCUUGCGUCGAUUACGUCCCUGCCCUUUGUACACACCGCCCGUCGCUACUACCGAUCGAGUGAUUUAGUGAGGACUUCGGACUGGUCUUCAAGUUGGCUUCGGUCGGCUCGAAGUUCCGGAAAGAUGCCCAAACUUGAUCACUUAGA
rnacentral:rRNA from 1 species